UUUUAGCCCUGAUGGAAGGGAAAAUCCUAUGCUUUUUAGCAUAGAUUGGAAUGACAGCAGGAUUAGCU
rnacentral:sRNA from 1 species